AUUGAACGCUGGCGGAAUGCUUUACACAUGCAAGUCGAACGGCAGCACGGGGCAACCUGGUGGCGAGUGGCGAACGGGUGAGUAAUACAUCGGACGUGCCCAAUCGUGGGGGGAUAACGUAGCGAAAGUUACGCUAAUACCGCAUACGAUCUACGGAUGAAAGCGGGGGAUCGCAAGACCUCGCGCGAGUGGAGCGGCCGAUGUCAGAUUAGGUAGUUGGUGGGGUAAAGGCUCACCAAGCCAACGAUCUGUAGCUGGUCUGAGAGGACGACCAGCCACACUGGAACUGAGACACGGUCCAGACUCCUACGGGAGGCAGCAGUGGGGAAUUUUGGACAAUGGGCGCAAGCCUGAUCCAGCCAUUCCGCGUGCAGGAUGAAGGCCUUCGGGUUGUAAACUGCUUUUGUACGGAACGAAACGGCUCUCUCUAAUACAGGGGGCUAAUGACGGUACCGUAAGAAUAAGCACCGGCUAACUACGUGCCAGCAGCCGCGGUAAUGA
rnacentral:rRNA from 1 species